rnacentral:rRNA from 1 species
UACGGAGGGAGCUAGCGUUGUUCGGAAUUACUGGGCGUAAAGCGUGCGCAGGCGGUUUUGUAAGCCAGAUGUGAAAGCCCCGGGCUCAACCUGGGAAUGGCAUUUGGGACUGCAAGGCUUGAGUGCGGCAGAGGAGACUGGAAUUCCUGGUGUAGCAGUGAAAUGCGUAGAUAUCAGGAGGAAUACCGAUGGCGAAGGCAGGUCUCUGGGCUGACACUGACGCUCAUGCACGAAAGCGUGGGGAGCAAACAGG